rnacentral:lncRNA from 1 species
CACAGGCAUAUGUCACCCUGUCGUCCAUGGCGUGCCGGCAGUCCGGCUGGCUGGGGAUGGCCCAGUCCAGCCGAGCCGGAGGAACCAUGUCGAGGUGAAUGUCACGGUCCAGAUCGCUGGGUCGGAACGUGUACCUGUCCUGGCCGGUGACGAAGAAGGUCAGUUUGUCCCGGCUGACACCGUCGCCGGUGCGCGACAAGUUGAGGGUGAACGCCCGGAGGUGCACGCCUACGUCGAUGCGGCAGCAGCCCACGCCGACGCAGAGCCCGUUCGGCAGCCUCCGCAUGACCUCCUCCCCGGCGCAGGCCACGGAGCAGUUCCCCACCGCGGCUCCACGGUCGAGCAGCGUGGCCGUGACGCCGCAGCCGAGGACGAACAGCGACGCAUGUUGGACGCGCCGGAGAUGGCGAACGGCCUGCCGGGGCCGUCCCACGAGGCCGAGGCGGAGACCGUCCCGGCGCCGGCGCGGGUCUCAUGCGCACCGUGCGCACGAUGUUGACGGCGAGCGAGGAAAUGAAGCCGCUCGCCAAGAUCGUGUAGUCCACCGUGACGCUGGGGCUGCCGAGCAGGAGGCGCUUACUGUACGUGUUGGCGUCGCAGGUGAGGUUGAACCCCGGCAGCGAGCACCCGGGGCCUACGCCGAACGGGUAGGAGAAGUCGAUCAGGCCGCAGCUCCGCCGUGGCUGGUGCGGCCAGAAGCGUCAUCAGCAGCGGCAGGAGAGUGAUAGCCGCCAUGGUCAGGACCAUCUUGUGCUGCUAGUACUCCCUCCGUCUCGAAAAACAUGUCGCGAGGGCAGUUUUGCAAAAAAGCCCUCCAGUUUCUCCCGACCGAACCCGCGCUCCUCGUCUUGCUCCUCCGACAGAAUCCCCAGCUCCGCCGCUCCCCGCCGCCGUAGCUUCGCUCCUCCACGCCGCCGCAGCUGCCCUGUCCCCGCCGCCGCAGCUCCCCCGCUCCCCGCUCCCUUGCUGCAGCUGCCUCCUGCUCCACCGCCGCAGCUGCCACUCGCCUGCCUCCCCAAGCUCCCCCUUCGUCAUAAAAAUGUUCGAUUUCCCCAUCUACCGCCGCGCUCUGCUCCGGCUGUGUCAGAACCGGCGUCGGCGAGCCCGGAGGCGCUUGAUCCGGACCACCACCAACAACCUCAUGUCUUGGGGUCGAGCAUGGUGGCGGCGGAGCAAGGAUGGAGUCCGGCAAGGGCGAUGCAGACCGACCACGGGGCUCGCUGGAGAAGGAGUUGAGGGAUGGCAGCGGCAGCAAGGCCAUGGAGGCAGGGUCGACGGAGUGGCGGACGGCAGAGCAGGGCCUUGGCGGAUUGGCUGUAGGCGGGCGCUCGAUGCGUCGUUCCCGCGCAAUAGAAGCAGGGGAGGCCGGCGGGGUCUUGGAUGGCGACGCGGGACCUGACGGCAGCUUGGCGCGGGCGCCGGGGCCGCCGGAGUUGGCCCCUCCGGUGGUAGCACGGGGAGGCACGGCGCGGAAGGGAGGAGGGCGGCGCUCGAGGUCGCCGACAUCCGGCAAGGCCGCAGCGAGGGAGCCGAACGGAGGCGGGCGACGGGAGGCUGCAGGGGCGACGCGCUCGGGCAGAGGGAGAGUGGGGAUCGGGAACGAGGGGGAUGGAGCUCGCGGGCGCCAUUGACACCCAGUGCAUUGGGAUGGAUGCAGGAGAGGUGCGUGUGUGCUUGCUUGCUGACCACCAUGGUUCUGUCUCUGUUCCCUUGUGCUCUGUCUCUUUUCUUUGUCCUGUAAGUGCUGGUGUUGCUUCUUCAGAUAAGUGGCAUGGAAGAAGCCCUGGAAUGAUGAUUCUCACCAUGGUUCUUCAGAUAAGUGCUGGUGUUGCUUCUUCAGAUAAGAGGUGCUCAAUGAUCUCACCAUGGUUCUCGGCUCCAUAGCACAGGUAUCAAUUGCCAUCUUCAUCCGUGGAAUGAUGAUUUAUCUAUCAUGUGCUCUUGGUCUGUUGCAGUUUGUAACUGAUGUGUAUUGUUUCUUCAGUUAAGUGGCAUGGGUCAUCGAGAUUGCUAAAGAUUACAGAAAUCUUCAGUUUUUUUUAUCAUAAGAAAGCUUGAUAAUAGUUCAAUGAAUUUUGUUGUCCUAUUUUGCUUGCAAGAAGAACAUUUUGCUUGCAAGAAGAACCCUAGCCCAAAACCCCAAAAGUAAAGAUGCUCUCAAGAAAUUCAAAUAAAAUCCAAAUUAAUUCUGUUCAUUUUCUGGUUGGAAUAUUUGGACUAGUUCUGCUAGUUUAGAGUUUGGAGUAUUUGCACAGUUAACCGAACAAUUUUGCACAGAUAACUGAACAGUUUUGCAAGCAUUCGAUCUCUGAACAAUUUUGUUUUCUGUAAGAUUUAUACUGUCUCUAAAUUCAGUCAUGAACUAUGAACUCUGAAAUUAGUACGGUUCCAAUAGCAUUUUAAAUAUUCAAGUUAGGACUGCACUUUUAAAGUUCAAGAUACUCCUGUAAAUUAAACCUCAACUUGCGGAGUUGCUGUUUUCAGUUAACUGAAAUUAUAGUGACUACUCCUACUUUUUCCUUCUCCUUUGUUCUGAAACUUCAGCUAUCAUAUCUACAGUACCUAGCUACUGUCAGAACAGAACAAGGAGAUAUCAUCAUCAGUAGAUAUCUACAGUUUUAUUACUGGAGCCACCAUACAAACCAUGCAAACCUCAUAUUCCAAUAAAUUCCAACGAGGAGUUUAUAUACAAGGAUUAGACAAGGCAUACACAAGGGCAUGACAUAAGGGCAUCUUUGUCCCCUCUUGACACAAGAUUACACAAGACAUACACAAGGAGCGCCUGACUACAUGACAUAAGGGCCUCUUUGCCCCCUCUUGACUACAUUCUUUCUCUGGCCACUUCUUCCCUUCCCUUCCCUUUACUUUUCUUUCUUUUCCCUUCUCUAGCUAAUUCUUUCCUUUCAUUUUCUUUUCCUAUUGCAAUUUCCAUUUCUUCUAUAAGGGCCCUAGUAUCAACAACUACCCGACUGUCGCAAUAUACACCGGUUAUUUCCAUUCCAGCAUUCUGAACGCGAUCCUUGUGCAGGUGGGGCAACUUAUAUUGAUUUCCUCCUUUGUCUUUCAUAACUUCAAACAUAACUGCUUCUAAUGUGAUAAAGCUUCUGUGCAACUUGUUGGGAUCGUAGUUCUCGAAUUCCUCUUCCACACCCUGUACCAGUUCCUGGAUGUUUGUAGGUGACCUGCAGUCGGUUAGAGACUGGAGAGAGUUAUGGAAGCAGAGGUCCAAACAAUUUAACUCAGGGCUAUUUGGGGGCUGUUGUAGCAAUCGGAUGUCAAGAUCAGUUUGUUCCACAGCUUCUCGAAAAGCUACAUCAUUGGGAAGGACAUGAGGCUUUGCGUUAUCCUGUUGGAUGAAUAUUGUUGCUCCCUCAUCAUCGUCAGGCCACUUAUCCUGAAUUGCCGGGAUAACCUUAUUGAUUAGAUAAUCUCUGCACACAGGCCUGGUUACUUUCACUGAUGUCAACACUUUUGUUCCCUUUGUUCUGUUCUGACUUGUCCGCUUCGCCUCAGUCUCUUCGACGAAUGCCCAAAUGCCGAUCUUCCCAUCGAAUGUUAGCUCCCCCUCAUUGUUAUAUCGAGGCCUGGCAACAGCUGUUAGGAACAUUACCUUCCCAAUGUUGUGAGUGUUUGACACGGUGCGCUUCGGUUCAGGUUCUCCUGGAAGUACAUAGUAACUAUUCUUCACUCUCGUCAUGUCGAACCACUUCUCAUCGAUGUGAACCAUAUUCGUCAUUGGUUUUAACAUAGCCCGAGAAGUUGAGAUCGAAUUGUCAUCGACCAUGGACAUACAAAAUUUCAAUCUCGCAAGCUUGUUCUCUAGCUUGAGGUGAGGCUUCACGGUGCUUGUGAUGCGGUUGAGCUCAUUCAACUGGAACCUCUUAUGUAGGGUCGAUCGGGCCACACCUAGAGACCGUGCCAGAGAUCGAAUUGUUCUUCUUUUAUUCAGUGGGAUUGUUGAGGUCCUCUCUAGAUCCAGCUCCUUUCUCUUUCGGCCUGAUCUUCCUAGCUUCUUGCUUGAGACAUCUACUUCUUUGCCAUCGGCAAUUUGCUUUUUAGCCUCUUCCCAGAUUCUUUCAACAGAUCGUACACUUAUGUCCAACAGGUUUGAGACUAGCAGCUUGUCGUCUGGUUGAACAGACCCAUCUUUGAGCUCGAUUACCAGCAAGGCAAAGUAAACACCAUGCCUCUCCUUAUCUGACAAUUCUCUUCUCUUCUCUUGAAGUAUCCAAUUCAUAACUUCAUCCUCUUCAUCUUGAGCUUCAUCCUCUUUCCCUUCAUCUUCUUGAGGCAUCCAAUUCAUAUCUUCAUCGUCUUCCUCUUGAGGCAUCAAGUUCAAAUCCAUAGCCACAUUCUCUGCCACUUGAGGUUCCUCCUUUUCAGGGAUCCAAUUCAAAUUAAUACCUUCAUCGUCUUCCUCUUGAGGCAUCAAGUUCAAAUCAAUGGUUUCAUGUUCUUCCUCUUGAGGCAUCAAGUUCAAAUUCAUAUUUAUGUGUUCCUGCCAUCAAUGACAAAAGAUGAGUACACCAUGGUACCAUAACAAGAAUAUACACACACAAAAUGAGUAUGCAAGUCAAACAAGAAAUAGGUGCCAUGGCACCAUUUCUAGUUUGGUUGCCACGGUACCCAAACAAGAAAUGGUGCCAUGGGACCAUUUCUACAAACUGUAAUCAUCUUCAGCCUACUCCUUCAGUACAAACACCUGACUGACUCUUCAGAUUGUGAUUCGAUUUUCGCAAUUGAUAAUCACCAUAGUCAGCAAGCAAUUCAGCAUCAUUUGGGUUCCAUCGGCAAGUGGGGAUAUACUGUAUGUUGUUACUCAGAAAAUCAAUUUUUUUUGGAGAUUGACCAUCCUAUAUGGAAAACAGCUUGACUAGUUACAAGCCCUUGUGCGGGUGUCCAUGUUCUGCCAAAAGUCUCCAGCUCCUCUUGAUUUCCUCCUAGAUUUUGAUUUCUGAAGUCAAACUAAAGCAACAAUCUGUCUGCAACCAACCAACAAGCAAAAGAAAGAGAGAUGACUCUGUUUUAACACUGCUGAAGUUUUAAGGCUGAUCUUAGGAAGAAUGUCUUAAGUUAAAAGAUCUGUACCUACAGUUUAACUGAAUCUCUCUAACCCACUACAGUACAGAAUUACCUCACCGUAGCAUGCCUGAUGUUCACCCAACAUCAUGUGCUGAUGGAUGUUGGGUGAUGCUACUGAUUCAGUUAACAGUAAAUCAAUUUGACAAAUUUUCAGGUAGCAAUUUUACUCUGAUGGAAUACCUUCUCUGAUGAUAUUGUCUCUGAAUUUUCAGGUAGCAAUUCUUCAGAUUGCAACUAGCAGCAGCAACAACAACACGGGCAGAGGAUCAGCAGCAUCAACACGGCCAGAGGAGCAGCAGCAGCAGCACGGUCAGUUGGAUCAGCAACACGGUCACGGGCAGAGGAGCAGCAGCAUCAACACGGGCAGAGCAGCAGCAGCAGCAGCAGCUCCACCGGCGACAGGGGAGAAGCAGAGGAGAAACAGCCGUGCGGGCACGCGGGCAGAGGAGAAGGAGGAGCACGGCGGCGCAUGGGAGCUCGAAGAGGACUCGCGGGAGAUAGAGGAGGACGCGCGCGAGCUCCUAUCCACCGGAUCGUGGAGGCUGGUUCCGGCGAUGCCCGUAGGGGAUCACGGCGGGAGGGAUCGCGGUGGCGCACGGGAGGCAGCUCAAGGUGGA